UACGUAGGGGGCAAGCGUUGUCCGGAUUUAUUGGGCGUAAAGAGCGUGUAGGCGGCUAGGUAGGUCCGUUGUGAAAACUCGAGGCUCAACCUCGAGACGCCGAUGGAAACCAUCUGGCUAGAGUCCGGAAGAGGAGAGUGGAAUUCCUGGUGUAGCGGUGAAAUGCGCAGAUAUCAGGAAGAACACCCGUGGCGAAGGCGGCUCUCUGGGACGGUACUGACGCUGAGACGCGAAAGCGUGGGGAGCAAACAGG
rnacentral:rRNA from 1 species